GGCGACCGGCGCACGGGUGAGUAACACGUAUCCAACCUGCCGAUAACUCGGGGAUAGCCUUUCGAAAGAAAGAUUAAUAUCCGAUAGCAUAUUGAGAUCGCAUGAUUUUGAUAUUAAAGAAUUUCGGUUAUCGAUGGGGAUGCGUUCCAUUAGUUUGUUGGCGGGGUAACGGCCCACCAAGACUACGAUGGAUAGGGGUUCUGAGAGGAAGGUCCCCCACAUUGGAACUGAGACACGGUCCAA
rnacentral:rRNA from 1 species